AUGGUCCCACGUCGAGCUUCGUGUUUUCUCCACAGCCACAGCAGCACAGCCCCUCAUCGAGCUUCGUGUUUUCUCCACAGCAAUAGCAGCACGGUCCCUCGUCGAGCUUCGUGUUUGAGCCAGAGCAGCCGUCACAACCAGCAGGAGCCUACGGAUAUCAUGCGUCUAUGUCGGCAUCACAUGAUACGUGGGGGGGUGAUCAACAUCCCGAAGAGAACAUACAUGCUCAGAUGUCGCAGCACACCCAGUGGAUGA
rnacentral:rRNA from 1 species